UUAAGCGACUAAGCGUACACGGUGGAUGCCCUGGCAGUCAGAGGCGAUGAAGGACGUGCUAAUCUGCGAUAAGCGUCGGUAAGGUGAUAUGAACCGUUAUAACCGGCGAUUUCCGAAUGGGGAAACCCAGUGUGAUUCGUCACACUAUCAUUAACUGAAUCCAUAGGUUAAUGAGGCGAACCGGGGGAACUGAAACAUCUAAGUACCCCGAGGAAAAGAAAUCAACCGAGAUUCCCCCAGUAGCGGCGAGCGAACGGGGAGCAGCCCAGAGCCUGAAUCAGUGUGUGUGUUAGUGGAAGCGUCUGGAAAGGCGCGCGAUACAGGGUGACAGCCCCGUACACAAAAAUGCACAUACUGUGAGCUCGAUGAGUAGGGCGGGACACGUGGUAUCCUGUCUGAAUAUGGGGGGACCAUCCUCCAAGGCUAAAUACUCCUGACUGACCGAUAGUGAACCAGUACCGUGAGGGAAAGGCGAAAAGAACCCCGGCGAGGGGAGUGAAAAAGAACCUGAAACCGUGUACGUACAAGCAGUGGGAGCACGCUUCGGCGUGUGACUGCGUACCUUUUGUAUAAUGGGUCAGCGACUUAUAUUCUGUAGCAAGGUUAACCGAAUAGGGGAGCCGAAGGGAAACCGAGUCUUAACUGGGCGUUAAGUUGCAGGGUAUAGACCCGAAACCCGGUGAUCUAGCCAUGGGCAGGUUGAAGGUUGGGUAACACUAACUGGAGGACCGAACCGACUAAUGUUGAAAAAUUAGCGGAUGACUUGUGGCUGGGGGUGAAAGGCCAAUCAAACCGGGAGAUAGCUGGUUCUCCCCGAAAGCUAUUUAGGUAGCGCCUCGUGAAUUCAUCUCCGGGGGUAGAGCACUGUUUCGGCAAGGGGGUCAUCCCGACUUACCAACCCGAUGCAAACUGCGAAUACCGGAGAAUGUUAUCACGGGAGACACACGGCGGGUGCUAACGUCCGUCGUGAAGAGGGAAACAACCCAGACCGCCAGCUAAGGUCCCAAAGUCAUGGUUAAGUGGGAAACGAUGUGGGAAGGCCCAGACAGCCAGGAUGUUGGCUUAGAAGCAGCCAUCAUUUAAAGAAAGCGUAAUAGCUCACUGGUCGAGUCGGCCUGCGCGGAAGAUGUAACGGGGCUAAACCAUGCACCGAAGCUGCGGCAGCGACACUAUGUGUUGUUGGGUAGGGGAGCGUUCUGUAAGCCUGUGAAGGUGUACUGUGAGGUAUGCUGGAGGUAUCAGAAGUGCGAAUGCUGACAUAAGUAACGAUAAAGCGGGUGAAAAGCCCGCUCGCCGGAAGACCAAGGGUUCCUGUCCAACGUUAAUCGGGGCAGGGUGAGUCGACCCCUAAGGCGAGGCCGAAAGGCGUAGUCGAUGGGAAACAGGUUAAUAUUCCUGUACUUGGUGUUACUGCGAAGGGGGGACGGAGAAGGCUAUGUUGGCCGGGCGACGGUUGUCCCGGUUUAAGCGUGUAGGCUGGUUUUCCAGGCAAAUCCGGAAAAUCAAGGCUGAGGCGUGAUGACGAGGCACUACGGUGCUGAAGCAACAAAUGCCCUGCUUCCAGGAAAAGCCUCUAAGCAUCAGGUAACAUCAAAUCGUACCCCAAACCGACACAGGUGGUCAGGUAGAGAAUACCAAGGCGCUUGAGAGAACUCGGGUGAAGGAACUAGGCAAAAUGGUGCCGUAACUUCGGGAGAAGGCACGCUGAUAUGUAGGUGAAGUCCCUCGCGGAUGGAGCUGAAAUCAGUCGAAGAUACCAGCUGGCUGCAACUGUUUAUUAAAAACACAGCACUGUGCAAACACGAAAGUGGACGUAUACGGUGUGACGCCUGCCCGGUGCCGGAAGGUUAAUUGAUGGGGUUAGCGCAAGCGAAGCUCUUGAUCGAAGCCCCGGUAAACGGCGGCCGUAACUAUAACGGUCCUAAGGUAGCGAAAUUCCUUGUCGGGU
rnacentral:rRNA from 1 species